UGAGGAUGGGCGGAACUCUGUCACACAAAGGAAACCAAGGCGAGUCAAGCCGGCAGGAAAGUGUGCGUGAAUCUGUACUGCUGCUUCAGACUGACGGCACUGCCAUAGUUAAAUCCUGUCUCCAUUACUUUCUUCUUGUUCUUACUUCAAGUCCUCCUUGUGCUGGAACUAGGAGUUGGUGCCCUGAAGAAUACUCUGAACACCAUUAUGUCUGAACUCAUGCCCAUCCCCAGACAUGUCCUCAAAGUAUAUAAAACACAGGUCAUGUGAGAAGAUGUGGACUUUGCAGUGAGCCGAUACUCCAAACCACGGACGGACGGAGGU